rnacentral:misc_RNA from 2 species
AACGCACCUUGCGCCACGUGGUAUUCCACGGGGCACGCCUGUUUGAGUGUCACGUAAACCCAUCGCGUCGCGGAUUGUCAUGAUCUGCGGGGCGGAUUUGGACGCUGCCGUAGUUGGCUCGUCUCGAAAUGCAUUAGCCAGUCCGAGGACGCGCGCCACUGGUGUGAUAAUUCACUUUGCGCCGCUGGUGUGUCCGACGAAGGCUCAUAAUCGCCCGCAAGGGCAACAUUUUUAAUGCUCUGGCCUCAAAUCAGGUGGGACUACCCGCUGAACUUAA